UGACGCGCGGCGGAGGCAAGGCGGGAGGCUGUGUGUGCUUGUGUUCCCGGGAGGAGGAAGGCGAAGGGACGAUAAGCUCUCCAGCGAGAGUAACAUGUGUCUGGCGACCGUCAAAACAUCAAAGGACAUCCAUGAGAUUGAGGACAAGUAGUAAAGACAGUGGAGAAGAGUGAAGAAGGAUACCUGGCUUAUGAUUAAUGUACGAAAGUCUGAAGCAGGAGAGCAGGUAGAGAAGAAUUCCUAUGUAAAUGUGAAGUAAGAGCAGACAGGAAGGACUGGCUGGCCGGCGACACGUGCAGCUCAAAAAAGAAUCAGGUCCCAAUACGGCGGGAAUCAAAAGAAUGUCAUCAGAAGUUUUGGAGGUGAAAGCAAAAGUUUCCUAUUGAGCCCCUCCUUUAAGCAGCCCUGAUCACCGGCGGCCAAAGCCAGACGUCCUGAAGCAUAAGUUGGGGAGAUUACUCUUCACGAAAGAACUGGACUUUUCCAACUCCUACUCGCACAAUAAACGUUCAAGGAUGAUAUUGUGCGCCGCGAGGUUCUCCAGACGUCGGUGCGCGUCCCUCACUGCCAGCCCUUAUCAGUCCCUCGCCAUCUUGCCUCUCAGCGGUGUGGCGCAGCUUUGAUGAAGAUUCUCUUGUGUUCCAAUUAUCCCGGAGCUCCCUUUUGUCCCCCGGUGAUAAGGGCUUUAGUUCCCUGUCGCAUAAAGUGCACUGUGUUUGGCUUGAAUUGUUGGUGGAAGGUGAGGCGCUGCUUCCCCCCCCUUCGCCUCCUUCCCUCCCAUCUUCUAUUCCCUCCCUCCCUUUCUUCCUCUCCUUCCUAUCUUCAUUCAUUCCUUCCUCCGGUACAGUCUUCACUUCCUCUUGGUUGGAUUCCAAACUAACUGUUGCAAUGAUAUUAGAACACCGUGUUGUAUUUUGUGUUCAUGUAUAAUUUAUUUCUCUCCCUCCAUGUUCCGUUAUUUGUUAGUUGAUGCGAUAUACUUUAGGUUAGGUUAAGUUAGGUUAGGUACAUACAUACAAGUAACA